rnacentral:rRNA from 1 species
GUCCUUUUGAUUUUUAUAUAAGGUCUGACCUGCCCUAUGAAUAUUUAAAUGGCCGCGGUAUACUAACCGUGCAAAGGUAGCAUAGUCAUUUGUCUCUUAAUUGGAGGCUUGAAUGAAGGGUUGGACGAGAUAUAAGCUUUCUUUGUUAUAUUUUAUUGAAUUUGACUUUUGAGUUAAAAGGCUUAAAUUUUUUUAUAGGACGAGAAGACCCUAUAGAAUUUUAUAUAUUUGUAUAAUCGAUUUAUUUAUUUAUUAUUUAAUUUUUUGUUUAAAUGUAUUUUGUUGGGGCGAUAGGAAGAUUUUAAUAACUCUUUUUUGUUCUAAUCAUUGAUUUAUGUUUUAUUCUGAUCCUUUUUUAGAGAUUAUAAGAUUAAAUUACCUUAGGGAUAACAGCGUAAUUCUUUUGGAGAGUUCUUAUCGAUAAAAGAGUUUGCGA